AUGGCUGCUUCAGCAAUAGGAGGAUGGGUGGCCUCAGCCUUCAUCACCAAGCUAGUUGAGAAGGUGUGCUCCUAUGCUGGAGAUCAGUAUGAAUACCAACGGAAAGAUACAAAGGAGAAACUAAGAAUCCUAGAGAAGAAUCUAUCGUCGAUCCAAACAGUGAUACAUAUAGCUGAGAGAGUGCAGGCAAAGAACACAGCCAUGGGAAGUUGGCUAAGGAGAAUCAAAGAUGCCGCCUGUCAAGCUGAGGAUGUUCUUGAUUUGUUUGACUAUCGAGUUCUCCAAGCACAAACUGAAGACAGGGGCAUGAUUAGCUCAGUUACUUCAGCUGCAGCUGGCUCAUCUUCUUCAUCCUCAAGCACCAUCACCACUGCCUCUACCACCACUAGCAGUAGUAGCAACUCAACGGUAAAUCAGUCGGUUCGUCUUCUCAAACGCUUCCUUUUCUCUGAUGAAGAUAUAGAUGAGUUGAUUUCUGUAGUCGAUAAGUUUGUUGAGAUUGAUAGUGAGAUGCAAAGAUUUCUGGAAUUUGUGAAGAUAGAGGACAGCAGGACAGAACAGGCAGUUCAGUGGCGCACAACAACCUCCAUGCCAGGCUCAGGGAAGUUUUUUGGUCGAGUUAAUGAAGAAAACAAACUGAAGAGAUUACUUGUUCAGAUCAAUGAGCAAUCCAGUCAUCCAUAUGAUGUUAUAUCAAUUGUUGGUAUUGGUGGUGUUGGUAAGACAACGUUAGUACAGAGAGUGUAUGACCAAUUGCAUGACACAGAUCACUUUGAUCUCACAGUAUGGCUCCAUGUCUCAGAUAAAUUUGAUGUUGGACAGCAAAAGGAAGAUGAUAUCAUAUCAGUAUUGCGACCGAGUUAUGAGCAUCUUCCUGACCAUUUGAAGCAAUGCUUUGUUUACUUUGCAUUGUUUCCUAAGAAAUACCACCUUCGAGGAGAUGAGCUAAUACAGAUGUGGAGAGCUCACGGUUUCCUUGACACGCAAACACCAGAUGAAACUGCACGUCGUUACAUCAAUGAUCUCUUGCAGCUUUUAUUCAUUGAGAAGGUACCCAACCGAGAGGACCACUAUGUAGUUCACGACUUGCUACAUGAUUUUGCAGAGUCGGUGUCCAAUGGAGAACACUUCCGAAUAGAAGAUGACUUAGAUGUAUGUAUUCCAAGAAAUGUUCGCCACCUAUAUGUCAGUGCAAGCAAUAUCUUAAAGGUGUACAUGAGUUUGGAAGACUUAAAGAAAAAUCUGAGAAGCUUAAUAAUAAGCAAGGCACAAGAAGGUGCUUCUUGCGAAAGGGUCUCCUCGUCAAACUUUAAUCAUGUACUUGAACAUAUACUCAAAGAGCUAAGAAGCUUACGCGUUUUAGUACUGUGCAAUCCUGAUGGUAUGCUUCCAGACAGUCUUGAUCAUUUGGUCCAUCUUAGGUAUCUAAACAUCCAUGAAAGUAGAAACUUCAUCAAUGUCAAGUCAUUAUUCAAACUCUACCAUUUACAAGGGUUGAGUCUGCAAGUUCAAGACAUGAUCAUGAAAAAGGAACUCCAAGAGGGCUUAAGUAGGUUGACCCAGUUAAGAUACUUAAAGGCUCCAGAGAAAAUAAUUUCAAGCAUAGAAUUGAUUGGCAGGCCGAGAUCCCUCAAAAGAACUAGAGGAGAACAAAGUGAAGAGUAA
rnacentral:rRNA from 1 species